AGGACGAACGCUGGCGGCGUGCUUAACACAUGCAAGUCGAGCGGAAAGGCCCUUCGGGGUACUCGAGCGGCGAACGGGUGAGUAACACGUGAGUAAUCUGCCCCUAGCUCUGGGAUAGCUCCGGGAAACCUGGAUUAAUACUGGAUACGACCACCUUAGACAUCUUUUGUGGUGGAAAGAAUUUCGGCUAGGGAUGAGCUCGCGGCCUAUCAGCUUGUGGUGGGUAACGCCUACCAAGGCGACGACGGGUAGCCGGCCUGAGAGGGCGACCGGCCACACUGGGACUGAGACACGGCCCAGACUCCUACGGGAGGCAGCAGUGGGGAAUAUUGCGCAAUUGGCGAAAGCCUGACGCAGCGACGCCGCGUGGGGGAUGAAGGCCUUCGGGUUGUAAACCCCUUUCAGCAGGGACGAAGCGAAAGUGACGGUACCUGCAGAAGAAGCGCCGGCUAACGUACGCGCCAGCAGCCGC
rnacentral:rRNA from 1 species